AUUUCAGGCCAUACCACCCUGAAUGCGCCCAAUCUCGUCUGAUCUCAGCAGCUAAGCAGGGUCAGGCCUGGUUAGUACUUGGAGGGGAGUUUGGGAAGUUAACAGUUUGAUGCU
ensembl:rRNA 5S_rRNA 5S ribosomal RNA